rnacentral:rRNA from 1 species
AGCACAGGAGAGCUUGCUCUCUGGGUGGCGAGUGGCGGACGGGUGAGGAAUACAUCGGAAUCUACCUUUUCGUGGGGGAUAACGUAGGGAAACUUACGCUAAUACCGCAUACGACCUUCGGGUGAAAGUGGGGGACCUUCGGGCCUCACGCGAUUAGAUGAGCCGAUGUCGGAUUAGCUAGUUGGCGGGGUAAUGGCCCACCAAGGCGACGAUCCGUAGCUGGUCUGAGAGGAUGAUCAGCCACACUGGAACUGAGACACGGUCCAGACUCCUACGGGAGGCAGCAGUGGGGAAUAUUGGACAAUGGGCGCAAGCCUGAUCCAGCCAUACCGCGUGGGUGAAGAAGGCCUUCGGGUUGUAAAGCCCUUUUGUUGGGAAAGAAAUCCUAUCGAUUAAUACUCGGUGGGGAUGACGGUACCCAAAGAAUAAGCACCGGCUAACUUCGUGCCAGCAGCCGCGGUAAUACGAAGGGUGCAAGCGUUACUCGGAAUUACUGGGCGUAAAGCGUGCGUAGGUGGUGGUUUAAGUCUGUCGUGAAAGCCCUGGGCUCAACCUGGGAAUUGCGAUGGAUACUGGAUCACUAGAGUGUGGUAGAGGGAUGCGGAAUUUCCGGUGUAGCAGUGAAAUGCGUAGAGAUCGGAAGGAACAUCUGUGGCGAAGGCGGCAUCCUGGGCCAACACUGACACUGAGGCACGAAAGC